rnacentral:rRNA from 1 species
UACGUAGGGUGCAGGCGUUAAUCGGAAUUACUGGGCGUAAAGCGUGCGUAGGCGGUUGGCUAAGUCAGAUGUGAAAGCCCUGGGCUCAACCUGGGAAUGGCAUUUGAAACUGGCCGGCUAGAGUGUGAUAGAGGAUGGCGGAAUUCCCGGUGUAGCGGUGAAAUGCGUAGAGAUCGGGAGGAACAUCCGUGGCGAAGGCGGCCAUCUGGAUCAACACUGACGCUGAGGCACGAAAGCGUGGGGAGCAAACAGG